rnacentral:rRNA from 1 species
GCCAGACUCCUACGGGAGGCAGCAGUGGGGAAUAUUGCACAAUGGGGGAAACCCUGAUGCAGCGACGCCGCGUGAGUGAUGAAGUAUUUCGGUAUGUAAAGCUCUAUCAGCAGGGAAGAAAAUGACGGUACCUGACUAAGAAGCCCCGGCUAACUACGUGCCAGCAGCCGCGGUAAUACGUAGGGGGCAAGCGUUAUCCGGAUUUACUGGGUGUAAAGGGAGCGUAGACGGUUCUGCAAGCCAGAUGUGAAAGCCCGGGGCUCAACCCCGGGACUGCAUUUGGAACCGUAAGGCUAGAGUGUCGGAGAGGCAGGCGGAAUUCCUAGUGUAGCGGUGAAAUGCGUAGAUAUUAGGAGGAACACCAGUGGCGAAGGCGGCCUGCCGGACGAUGACUGACGUUGAGGCUCGAAAGCGUGGGGAGCAAACAGGAUUAGAUACCCCCGUAGGG